GAACGCGAAGAACCUUACCAGGUCUUGACAUCCCUCUGACCGCUCUAGAGAUAGAGCUUUCCUUCGGGACAGAGGUGACAGGUGGUGCAUGGUUGUCGUCAGCUCGUGUCGUGAGAUGUUGGGUUAAGUCCCGCAACGAGCGCAACCCCUAUUGUUAGUUGCCAUCAUUUAGUUGGGCACUCUAGCGAGACUGCCGGUAAUAAACCGGAGGAAGGUGGGGAUGACGUCAAAUCAUCAUGCCCCUUAUGACCUGGGCUACACACGUGCUACAAUGGCUGGUACAACGAGUCGCGAGUCGGUGACGGCAAGCUAAUCUCUUAAAGCCAGUCUCAGUUCGGAUUGUAGGCUGCAACUCGCCUACAUGAAGUCGGAAUCGCUAGUAAUCGCGGAUCAGCACGCCGCGGUGAAUACGUUCCCGGGUCUUGUACACACC
rnacentral:rRNA from 1 species